UACGGAGGGUGCAAGCGUUGUUCGGAAUUACUGGGCGUAAAGGGCGCGUAGGCGGCUUUGUAAGUCUGAUGUGAAAGCCCGGGGCUCAACCCCGGAAGGGCAUUGGAAACUGCAGAGCUUGAGUUCGGGAGAGGAGGGCAGAAUUCCCGGUGUAGGGGUGAAAUCCGUAGAUAUCGGGAGGAAAACCAGUGGCGAAGGCGGCCCUCUGGAACGUAACUGACGCUGAGGCGCGAAAGCGUGGGGAGCAAACAGG
rnacentral:rRNA from 1 species